ensembl:lncRNA
AUGGACUAUGUCAAUUUAAAGCGCGUAAUUUUACAUCAACAUCCCGAAAAACCAAGCGGCCUCGCGCAACACAGACUGGAGCAGAUGGCACGUAAUUGCCUUGAGGUGGAAACGGGGCGUCCAUUUUACAGGUCUCGCGGGACUCGGUCGCAGUUCUCCUGUGAAAAUACAGGUGCAACGAUGGACCUUUCCAAUCAUAUCCAUGCAUCUACACCCAGAUUUGCCUCCAGGAUCUCUCACAGGUGCACCAUUGGCCCCAGGCCGGCCUGGCACCCAACCCUCCUGCUCAUCAGCACCACUACCAAAACACACACACAUAAACCCUCUGCCCCCCUUCUUGAAGGUCCAGCUGAUCCCCACCUGAUCCCAAUUCAUGGGGGAGGAGGAGGUGUUCUGAUCUGAGCUCACCCUGGAGAGGUGAGAAAGAAGAAAAUAUAUGCCAUCGCUCAUCUUUCUUGUCUCUCUGUCUCGUACAAGGAUAGUAACUCUUUGUGCUCCUGUCAGAUUAAUGCCAACAAUAAGCCCUAAAACCAUGUUAGAUGGUGUCCUUGAGUAUCCUAUGCAUGCAUGUGAAUGUAUGUAACAUUGUGUGUCUGCGUCCACCAGUGUUAUUGUGUGUAAAGAGCAGUAUGUCCAAGCAGGGCUGAGCUCAGGUGUCCUGUGCUGAUGAGUUGCAGCUGGCUCUCAUUGGUGCUGUAAUGGGUGCUAUCCAGUGCCUGGGUCAGUCACACAGCUGAGUUUAGACUACCCUCAGUAUAGCAAUCCAUGUUCAAACUCAUUCAGCCUCCUAAAAGUAUAUAAGUUAUGUACUUAUCUUAAUGAGAUAAGUCACUAAAUUAUUUUCUGUAUUAAACCAUCCAUUUAAAUUAAUUUGUUCCCCAUGACAAGUUAUUGAGAUCACUAAAAUUCUAUGAACAGGCAUGAAAAACACAUGAACAGGCAAAAAAAAAAAAAGACACAUUAUACAACAGUUAGUUCCAGUUUUCAAAUUUGAUUGUGAUUUUUGAAGCAGUGUCAUAGAAGAACCAUUUUGUUUUCCCCAAAGAACCUUUCAGUGAACAGUUCUCAAAAGAACGAUUUAUUUCUUAGUGUGAAGAACAUUUUAGAAAUCUGAAUAACCUUCUUCCACUAUAAAGUACCUUUUGUGGAAUGGAAAGGUUCCAUGGAUGUUAAAGGUUCUUCAUGGAACCACAGAUGCCCAUAAAGAACCCUUGUUUUUAAUCUUGCGGUUGAGUGGCAUAUUAAGAUAAAAUUCAUAUUUAUUUUUACAUAUUAUAUUUAAAUUUUAUUUAGUAUUGUAUCUAUCUAUCUAUCUAUCUAUCUAUCUAUCUAUCUAUCUAUCUAUCUAUCUAGUUGAACAACAGUUUAUAUGAGCUAUACUUGGUGUUACUGAAUUUUUUUGUCAAGUAUUUUAUAUACAUGAGGGAGAAAUCUGGAGAUGAUGCAGAUAGGGAAUAUUUUGUACUACACAUCACAAUAAAGCAUUUGAAAUUUGUUUUAUAUGAUUUGAAUGUACAUGCCUCACAGCUCGGCAGAAGGUAUUCUUAUUGACCGUGUACUUGGACUGAAUUAAGCCGUGAAAUGAGCUGCAAUCCAUUGUUCUUUCACCAUGAACAACAGAGAUCAAUACUUAUGAUCUCCACCAGCCCUCCUGAAAGUAAGCACACAGGACAACAUAUGUUCCCUUCAGUGAUGGCAUAAUUUGUCUAAACCCAAUUAUACAACACUAAAGAUUUAUGCCCACACAUAACAUAAUAUAAUACUCAUAAUAUUGUCCAAAACACAUAUGAUCUUCACUUUUUCAGUCAAAAUAUUCCAUCCCAUGUGUUUUCCCUCUAUGCCCAGUUCUCUUCUGCCUCCAUGUCCUCCUCUCUGUUGUUUUUUUUUCUCUUUCUCUGGGUCUUACUAUUUUCAUACCCCUCCACUGGCCCUGGGUCAGACAUCCUGCCUCCAUCCAUCUCUCCAUCCACUCAUCCAUCUUUCCAUCCUUCCAGCAACAUCAGCCAGCUGCCCCAACACACACACAUAGAGACCUUAAUUCAGUCAGUGAGGUCCAUGCCCCCUUCCCAAAGCAAUGCCCAGAUCUGAACACAUGCACCAGGCAAAAAAGGGCAGCAGAUGGGGGGAAGGGUGACUCUGGAAGCCAUAUGCCUCUUUCUCACAUUUGACUCUCUGUAUAUAUAUGUGUAUGUGUGAGGAGGGGAGGGGUGUGUUGUGGAAAUAAAGGACCAGCUGACUUUGUUCACAAACAGAGGACAGAAAUAAGAGGUUUUAAUGGAAUCUAAUACUUCCCAUCAACCAUGAUCAAUAACAGUCUAGCACAUAAUCGGUCUGAGAAUGAUAUGUGAAUCUUGAAGAAUUCCAAUGAUUUCAUUUUAUAGUAAAAAAC